rnacentral:tRNA from 1 species
UGGGGUGUGGCGAAGUGGUCUAACGCACCGGUUUUUGGUACCGGCACUCCUAGGUUCGAAUCCUAGCACCCCAGCCA